ensembl:lncRNA
AUCUUCAGUGAUUCAUUGAGUUGGGACUUUCUAGAUUCAUGAAGAUAACUAAUAGCACCUAGGACCAAAGUUUCAGUGGGCAGGGAUGACAAAGAAGAGAAUAUAAAUUUGGUUGUGACUGUUGCUGCACCGGACACAUUUGUUGGCAAUGUUUUGGGUAUGUUUGAAGUUUCUGGUUGCAAACUUGAAGUACUUUGAAGUGUUGCAUCUGCUUUUGUUGUAUUGUUCAGAGGUGUAGUAUUGCUAGUAAGAGUUUCAGCUGCUAUUGGUUUUAUGGAUGUGUGACCUGAAAUUGUAGAUGCUGGUGAUGUUGACGUAUUGUUGUUUGGACCUGAUGCUAUUGGAAAUUCUGGAAAUUCUGCUGUGUUAGUGAAACCUGUAAUAAUUCCAGUGGUAGUUGUUGAUGCAGUUGUGGUUUCUGAAUCCAAGUUUGGGCUUGAAGUUGUUUUGGUUGAAAGUGCAAGUGUGGCUGGAGCAGAAGAUGUACUGGUAAAAGCGACAGUUGUUUUUAAAAGAUCUCCUGAUGUUAGUUGAAAGGCAGUUGUUGUUUGAGUUGCAGUUGAGCUUGGAAUGGUGGCAGUUGCUGUGCUUGGAGCUGUAGCUGAGAUAUCAGCUGGAACUGUAGUGGUGGCCAGAACAUUCAUGGUUGUAAUGGGUGCAGAUGGGGUUCUUGGAGGUUCAGUUGUUUUUGUUGGAGUUAAAGUUGGUAAUAUAGUUACAUGUGAUGAGGAGAUAGGCAAAAUUGUUACAGCAAUAGUUAUGAUCUCUGGAGACACAGUUGUGAUUAUUGGAGGUGCAUUUGUCGUGGUAAUGAGUGUUGCCUGGCUUAGAGCUGGAACUGUAUUUGUGAAAGCAACAGUUGUGCUUGAUAGAGGUACAGUUGUUAUUUGGAAUGCAGUUGUUGUUGCCACUGAAGGAGUGUUCUUGCUUGAUGUUGUUGGAUCAUUAGUUGUUUUAGAUGUGGUUGAUGAAGCUGUAGUUGCGGUCUCUGCUGUUGUACUUUCUGAAGUUGUAGGCAGUGUUGUUGAAGUAAUGGGUGUGGUUUUUGUACUCACAACUGUGGAGGUGGGAUUUCAUUGGGGAUGCUGUAGUUAUUGAUCUUGUUACAGGUGCAGUUGUUUCUGAAGAUGUAGGCAUUGUUGAAGUAAGAGUUGUGGAUUCAGAAGUUACAGCUGUUGAUGUUGUUGGAUCAUGUGUUGCAGUAGAUGUGGUUGAUAAAGCUGUAGUCGUGGUUUCUGCUGUUGUACUUUCUGAAGUUGUAGUCAGUGUUGUUGAAGUAGUAGUUGUGGUGGUCUCUGUACUCACAACUGUGGUUGUUGGAAUUUCGCUAGUUGACAAUCCUUUAGUUGCUGAUGUUGUUACAGGUGCAGUUGUUUCUGAAGAUGUAGGUAUCGUUGUUGAAGUAAGAGUUGUGGAUUCUGAAGUUACAGCUGUUGAUGUUGCUGGAUUGUUUGUUUUUGUAGAUGUGGUUGAUGAAGCUGUAGUUGUGGUUUCUGCUGUUGUACUUUCUGAAGUUGUAGGCAGUGUUGCUGAAGUAGUAGUUGUGGUCUCUGUACUCACAACUGUGGUUGUUGGAAUUUCGCUAGUUGACAAUCCUUUAGUUGCUGAUGUUGUUACAGGUGCAAUUGUUUCUGAAGAUGUAGGUAUCGUUGUUGAAGUAAGAGUUGUGGAUUCUGAAGUUACAGCUGUUGAUGUUGCUGGAUUGUUUGUUGUUGUAGAUGUGGUUGAUGAAGCUGUAGUUGUGGUUUCUGCUGUUGUACUUUCUGAAGUUGUAGGCAUUGUUGUGGAAGCAAUAGUUGUGGUUUCUGUACUCACAACUGUGGUGGUGGGAAUUUCAGUAGUUGAGGAUGCUGUAGUUAUUGAUGUUGUUACAGGUGCAGUUGUUUCUGAAGUUGUAGGAAUUGUUGUUGAAGUAAGUGUUAGGGAUUCUGAAGUUACUACUGUUGAUGUUGUUGGAUUGUUUGUUAUUGUAGAUGUGGUUGAUGAAGCUGUAGUGGUGGUUUCCACUGUUGUAAUUUCUAAAGUUGUAGGCAAUGUUGUUGAAGUAAUAGGUGUGGUCUCUGUACUUACAACUGUGGUUGUGGGAAUUUCUGUAGAUGAGGAAGCUUUAGUUACUGAUGUUGUUACAGGUGCAGUUGUAUCUGAAGAUGUAAGCAUAGUUGUUGAAGUAAGAGUUGUGGAUUCUGAAGUUACUGCUGCUGAUGUUGUUGGAUCAUUUGUUGUUGUAGAUGUGGCUGAUGAAGCUGCAGUUGUGGUCUCUGCUGUUGUUCUUUCUGAAGUUGUAGGCAGUGUUGUUGAAGUAAUAGUUGUGGUUUCAGUCCUCACAACUGUGGUGGUGGGAAUUUCAGUAGUUGAGGAUGCUGUAGUUACUGAUGUUGUUACAGGUGCGGUUGUUUCUGAAGAUGUAGGCAUUGUUGAUGUAAGAGUUGUGGAUUCUGAAGUUACAGCUGCUGAUGUUGUUGGAUCAUUUGUUGUUGUAGAUGUGGUUGAUGAAGCUGUAGUUGCGGUCUCUGCUGUUGUACUUUCUGAAGUUGUAGGCAGUGUUGUUGAAGUAAUGCUUGUGGAUUCUGAAGAUACAGCUGCUGAUGUCGUUGGAUCAUUUGUUGUUGUAGAUGUGGUUGAUGAAGCUGUAGUUGCGGUCUCUGUUGUUGUACUUUCUGAAGUUGUAGGCAGUGUUGUUGAAGUAAUGCGUGUGGUUUCGGUCCUCACAACUGUGUUGGUGGGAAUUUCAGUAGUUGAGGAUGCUGUAAUUACUGAUGUUGUUACAGGUGCAGUUGUUUCUGAAGAUGUAGGCAUUGUUGAAGUAAGAGUUGUCGAUUCUGAAGUUACAGCUGUUGAUGUUGUUGGAUCAUUUGUUGUUGUAGAUGUGGUUGAUGAAGCUGUAGUUGUGGUCUCUGCUGUUGUACUUCCUGAAGUUGUAGGCAGUGUUGUUGAAGUAAUAGUUGUGGUCUCUGUACUCACAUCUGUGGUUGUGGGACUUUCAGCAGUUGAGUAUGCUGUAGUUACUGAUGUUGUUACAGGUGCGGUUGUUUCUGAAGAUGUAGGCAUUGUUGAUGUAAGAGUUGUCGAUUCUGAAGUUACAGCUGUUGAUGUUGCUGGAUUGUUUGUUGUUGUAGAUGUGGUUGAUGAAGCUGUAGUUGUGGUUUCUGCUGUUGUACUUUUUGAAGUUGUAGGCAUUGUUGUUGAAGCAAUUGUUGUGGAUUCUGAAGUUACUGCUAUUGAUGUUGUUGGAUCAUUUGUUGUUGUAGAUGUAGGUGACAAAGCUGUAGUUGUAGGCAGUGUUGUUGAAGUAGUAGUUGUGGUCUCUGUACUCACAACUGUGGUUGUUGGAAUUUCACUAAUUGACAAUCCUUUAGUUGUUGAUAUUGUUACAGGUACAGUUGUUUCUGAAGAUGUAGGUAUUGUUGUUGAAGUUAGAGUUGUGGAUUCUGAAGUUACAGCUGUUGAUGUUGUUGGAUCGUUUGUUGUUGUAGAUGUGGUUGAUGAAGCUAUAGUUGUGGUUUCUGCUGUUGUACUUUUUGAAGUUGUAGGCAGUGUUGUUGAAGUAAUGGCUGUUGUUUCGGUCUUCACAACUGUGGUGGUGGAAAUUUCAGUAGUUGAGGAUGCUGUAGUUGUUGAUGUUGUUACAGGUGCAGUUGUUUCUGAUAAUGUAGGCAUAGUUGUUGAAGUAAGAGUUGUGGAUUCUGAUGUUACAGCUGUUGAUGUUUUUGGAUCGUUUGUUGUAGAUGUAGUUAAUGAACCUGUAGUUGUGGUUUCCACUGUUUUAACUGUAGCAGUGGAAUGUUCAGUUGUGGCUGUGGAUGCAGUAUUUGUUGUUUCAGCUGCUUUUGUCUUUUCUGAAGACGUAGUCAUGGUUGUUGAAGCAAGUCUUUCUGUAGUUAUAACCAUUGUUGCACCUGAAGAAUCUGAUGAGGUUGGAGCUGGUUUUGCUGAGGUUGAAAUGGCAAGUAUAGUUGUUCUUUCUGAAGCCGUAUAUCCUGAAGUUGAAGACUCCUUUUUUGAAGCACUGGAUUUUAAAAAGAAAAAUAUAAUAAAUUAUAUACCUUUUAAAUUAUUAUUAACUUAAAAAAAAAAAAAAACAUGUUUGUAUUAGAUUAAAAAAGUAAUGACUAGUGGUGGGCCGUUAUCGGCGUUAACGUGCUGCAUUAACGUGAGACUCUUAUCGGGCGAUAAAAAAAUAUCGCCGUUAAUCUAUAGUACUCAAAGUUGGGUUGGGAGCUGGGUCUACUACACAAGCUAUGAUGAUUUCACCUUGAUGUUUUAGCGCGGAUGUAUAGGCUACCUAGCCGAAUUGCACUGUAGGGGGCGAGAAUGAGUCUUCGAACCUGUGUGUAUGCCUACUGUGAAAUUACCACAUCAAACGUGACGUGCUAACAUUGAUGCAGCUAUGAACCCGCCGGGUUUGUUUCAGGGGAAAAAAAAAUUAUUUUAAGAAGCUUCCCAAUGGAAACGUCGACAAGACUCACGCCUGGUUCACACUCUGUCUGCAGUGCGUAUGCAGUCCGUGUGUGUGGUGCAAAAGCAGCAUGGACUCAUUGUGCUUUCACACAGGAAGCGUUUGAACUCCGCUACUGAUCCGCGGCUGUUUAGUCC